rnacentral:rRNA from 1 species
UCUGGUGGCUAUAGCGGAGAGGACACACCUGUUCCCAUACCGAACACAGAAGUUAAGCUCUCCAGCGCCGAAGAUACUUGGACGGAGACGUCCCGGGAAAAUAGGUCGUUGCCAGAU